UACGGAGGGUGCAAGCGUUAUCCGGAUUCACUGGGCUUAAAGGGUGCGUAGGAGGGCAGGUAAGUCAGUGGUGAAAUCCCCGAGCUUAACUUGGGAACUGCCGUUGAUACUAUCUGUCUUGAAUGUUGUGGAGGUGAGCGGAAUAUGUCAUGUAGCGGUGAAAUGCUUAGAUAUGACAUAGAACACCAAUUGCGAAGGCAGCUCGCUACACAAUUAUUGACUCUGAUGCACGAAAGCGUGGGGAUCAAACAGG
rnacentral:rRNA from 1 species